CCUACGGGUGGCAGCAGUGGGGAAUAUUGGGCAAUGGGCGCAAGCCUGACCCAGCAACGCCGCGUGAAGGAUGAAGGUUUUCGGAUUGGAAACUUCUGUCGCGAGGGACGAAAAAUGACGGUACCUCGUAAGAAAGCCCCGACUAACUACGUACAAGCAGCCGCGGUAAGACGUAGGAGGCAAGCGUUGUCCGGAAGGACUGGGCGUAAAGGGAGUGUAGGCGGGUCAACAAGUUAGAUGUGAAAUCCCGCGGCUUAACCGCGGAACUGCAUCUAAAACUGGUAAGCUUGAGUGCAGGAGAGGUGAGUGGAAUUCCUAGUGUAGCGGUGGAAUGCGUAGAUAUUAGGAGGAACACCAGAGGCGAAGGCGACUCACUGGACUGUAACUGACGCUGAGGCUCGAAAGCGUGGGGAGCAAACAGGAUUAGAUACCCGAGUAGUC
rnacentral:rRNA from 1 species